rnacentral:tRNA from 1 species
UCCCUGGUGGCCUAGUGGUUAAGGAUCCAGCAUUGUCACUGCUGUGGCGUGGGUUCAAUCCCUGGCCUGGGAA